UGGGGGAUAUUGCACAAUGGGCGAAAGCCUGAUGCAGCGACGCCGCGUGGGGGAUGAAGGCUUUCGGGUUGUAAACCUCUUUCGCUAUCGAACAAGGCCCGCUUAGGGUGGGUUGAGGGUAGGUGGAGAAGAAGCGCCGGCUAACUACGUGCCAGCAGCCGCGGUAAUACGUAGGGCGCGAGCGUUGUCCGGAAAUAUUGGGCGUAAAGGGCUUGUAGGCGGCUUGUUGCGCCUGCUGUGAAAACGCGGGGCUUAACUUCGCGCGUGCAGUGGGUACGGGCAGGCUUGAGUGUGGUAGGGGUGACUGGAAUUCCAGGUGUAGCGGUGGAAUGCGCAGAUAUCUGGAGGAACACCGAUGGCGAAGGCAGGUCACUGGGCCAUUACUGACGCUGAGGAGCGAAAGCAUGGGUAGCGAACAGG
rnacentral:rRNA from 1 species